rnacentral:rRNA from 1 species
GUAACCUACCCUGGGGAUCGGGAUAACCUGUCGAAAGACGGGCUAACACCGGAUAAGACCACGGGAGCCUCGGCUCCUGAGGUAAAAGAUGGCCUAUGCUUGCAAGCUAUUACCCCGGGAUGGGCCUGCGCACCGUUAGCUAGUUGGUGAGGUAACGGCUCACCAAGGCGAAGAUGGUUAGCUGGCCUGAGAGGAUGAUCAGCCACACUGGGACUGAGACACGGCCCAGACUCCUACGGGAGGCAGCAGUGGGGGAUAUUGCGCAAUGGGCGGAAGCCUGACGCAGCGACGCCGCGUGGGUGAUGAAGGCCUUCGGGUCGUAAAGCCCUGUCAGGAGGGACGAAACCUCGCCGACCUAAUAUGUCGGCGACCUGACGGUACCUCCAAAGGAAGCACCGGCUAACUCCGUGCCAGCAGCCGCGGUAAUACGGAGGGUGCGAGCGUUGUUCGGAAUCACUGGGCGUAAAGCGCGUGUAGGCGGCUUCUUAAGUCUGGUGUGAAAUCCCGGGGCUCACCCCCGGAAGUGCACUGGACACUGGGAAGCUUGAGUACCGGAGAGGAGGGUGGAAUUCCUGUGUAGCGGUGAAAUGCGUAGAUAUCAGGAGGAACACCUGUG